CGUGUGUGCAUGUGUGUGUAUGUAUGUGAGGAAGCUUACUGCCAUGAGGAACUUGAAGGUCUUGAUGGGAAAAAGCUCCGCCUUGAGAAGGAGGAGGCUGAAGGAGAGAGGAAAACAUGCUUCUGGUUGGAGGAGGAAGAAGAACUGCAACUGGCCAUGGCUAUGUCACUAUCUCUCCAGACAAGCGAGUAAGAGGCAGCAGAUUAUUAUGAUACAGAGUAAACGCGCUGCAGCAUCAUGAAGGAGAAUUGAAGCCCUAAACACAAACACACACAAUGUUUGUGGAAACCUCACGUUGGCAGUGUGAUUAUGCGGUAUCCGUGAAUUGUGGUCACCUACAUUUAUAUAAGAAGUACAGCUUAUUAAGUGAUUAUGUAUAGUUUAUUAUUGUAUAAUAUUCAUGGGAAAUAUUAUGCAGGCACAUCACAUUUAUUUACUCAGUUGAUUUUCAAAGAAUCUAAAUGGA